rnacentral:rRNA from 1 species
UACGAAGGGGGCGAGCGUUGUUCGGAUUUACUGGGCGUAAAGGGCGCGCAGGCGGCGCAUUUUGUCAGGCGUGAAAGCCCCGGGCUUAACCUGGGAACUGCGUUUGAUACGGAUGGGCUUGAGUUCGGGAGAGGUGAGUGGAACUGCGAGUGUAGAGGUGAAAUUCGUAGAUAUUCGCAAGAACACCAGUGGCGAAGGCGGCUCACUGGCCCGAUACUGACGCUGAGGUGCGAAAGCGUGGGGAGCAAACAGG